rnacentral:rRNA from 1 species
AUGGCAACCACCAAAGCCACGGCGUCCUCCCGUGUCCCGCUCCUGCUCUUCGCCGCGAUCCUUGCGGUUGCGGCCUCCGUCCAGGGCCAGGCGACCGCACCGGCACCGGCACCGUCUGCCGGCGGGCAGUGCACGCCGGACUACCUAUCUGCGCUCGGCCUCUGCAUCGACUUCCGGUUGGGCAGAGUCGAUCUCCGCGGGAAGAACCUGGCCAACGAGAGGGAGCGGUGCUGCCGGAAUGUCCGCGGGAAACCCAGCGCCGCGGAGUGCCUGUGCACCGCCUUCAAGCGUGCUCCCGACGUCCCCGACCGUGCUGAUUUCGCCGAGGACGUCAACACCGUGCUCUUGGUCUGCGAUGAGCCUCAGAUCCCCGACCUCGCUUGCCCGGCCUCUACAUCGGGUUGA